CCUACGGGGGGCUGCAGUGAGGAAUAUUGGUCAAUGGACGAGAGUCUGAACCAGCCAAGUAGCGUGAAGGAUGACUGCCCUAUGGGUUGUAAACUUCUUUUAUAAAGGAAUAAAACGAGGCACGUGUGCCUUUUUGCAUGUACUUUAUGAAUAAGGAUCGGCUAACUCCGUGCCAGCAGCCGCGGUAAUACGGAGGAUCCGAGCGUUAUCCGGAUUUAUUGGGUUUAAAGGGAGCGUAGAUGGGUUGUUAAGUCAGUUGUGAAAGUUUGCGGCUCAACCGUAAAAUUGCAAUUGAUACUGGCAGUCUAGAGUACAGUUGAGGUAGGCGGAAUUCGAGGUGUAGCGGUGAAAUGCUUAGAUAUCACGAAGAACCCCGAUUGCGAAGGCAGCUUACUAAACUGUGACUGACAUUGAUGCUCGAAAGUGUGGGUAUCAAACAGGAUUAGAUACCCUUGUUGUC
rnacentral:rRNA from 1 species